UACGAAGGGGGCUAGCGUUGCUCGGAAUCACUGGGCGUAAAGGGUGCGUAGGCGGGUCUUUAAGUCAGGGGGGAAAUCCUGGAGCUCAACUCCAGAACUGCCUUUGAUACUGAAGAGCUUGAGUACAUUUGAAGUGGGCGGAAUAUGUCAUGUAGAGGUGAAAUUCUUAGAGAUGACAUAGAACACCGAUUGCGAAGGCAGCUCACUAAACUGUAACUGACGCUGAGGCACGAAAGCGUGGGGAUCAAACAGG
rnacentral:rRNA from 1 species